AUUGAACGCUGGCGGCAGGCCUAACACAUGCAAGUCGAACGGUAACAGGAAACAGCUUGCUGUUUCGCUGACGAGUGGCGGACGGGUGAGUAAUGUCUGGGAAACUGCCUGUUGGAGGGGGAUAACUACUGGAAACGGUAGCUAAUACCGCAUAACGUCGCAAGACCAAAGAGGGGGACCUUCGGGCCUCUUGCCAUCAGAUGUGCCCAGAUGGGAUUAGCUAGUAGGUGGGGUAACGGCUCACCUAGGCGACGAUCCCUAGCUGGUCUGAGAGGAUGACCAGCCACACUGGAACUGAGACACGGUCCAGACUCCUACGGGAGGCAGCAGUGGGGAAUAUUGCACAAUGGGCGCAAGCCUGAUGCAGCCAUGCCGCGUGUAUGAAGAAGGCCUUCGGGUUGUAAAGUACUUUCAGCGGGGAGGAAGGGAGUAAAGUUAAUACCUUUGCUCAUUGACGUUACCCGCAGAAGAAGCACCGGCUAACUCCGUG
rnacentral:rRNA from 1 species